ACAGUCGGCUUUCUAUCCCAUAUUGCCAAGAGCUCUGAGAAUGAUGAACCAAGUAAAUGCUUUAUUUAGGGCUAAGUGAGCUGCGGAUCCCUCCAGCCUGACAGCGUUUCAGCCUGCAGAGUAAGACAGCAGCAGCAACAGAAGCAGCAGAGGCAGCAGCAACAGCAGCAGCCCCUUGCUCAAGUCCAGCAGGGGAGACUUGAUCUCUGGUUAGUCUUGGAACUCAGCCUGUGGAUCGUGCACUGUCCAGGGUCCUGAAAUAUGAACCAAACAGCCAGCGUGUCCCAUCACAUCAAGUGUCAGCCCUCCAAGACCAUCAAGAGUUAAGGACAAAGAUGAAACGACUGUAGUCCAUUUUGACACUUGGGAUACUUUCAGUGAGAAUUAGGGCCGCUGAAGAGAUUUUGGACAGAAAAAGACUGUACUUUCUAACAUGAAUAUGGCAAAGUCACCUCCAGUAUAGAUCUCCCUUCUCUCACCUCAGUCCAGCUGUGUUGACAGAGAUACACCUGUCAAAGCCUUUGAAAGGGGGGGGGGGUCAACACCCAGAAGAGUGGUGUCUCAAAGUUCUGGAGUUUGUGGAAAUACAUACAACUUAUGAGAAUAUUUUAUGUACCUAUUUUAUGUUCUUAAACAAACUGGUAUGUUUUAUACUCUAAAAGUCCCAGACAUUUAUAAAAUGCACAUUAAACAUAUCGAUCCACCCUGAGCUUCCUGUCAAACCACUCAAGUAGUCCUAUUCAUCCACCUUCGAGCUUCAUGUCCUUUUAUUUGUUUAUUUUUGGCAUUAAUACUCCUGAGGUCAAUGAGUGCUGCACAUCUACAUGCAGCUGUGUGGCCAAGCACUGGUGCAUGGGAAACCUACUAACAGACAAAGGAGAGUGACGUUUCCUUCCUUAGCAGCUCUCUCUAUAGGAGUGCUGCCUCAGAGGUGCCUGCACAUCUGAGUUGAAAUGUUAUUGGCUUUAUUUUGUGCAGGCAGCCACGCCUGCUGUGAGUUGUCACUUGGAACAGCUAGGCCAUGGCCAGAAGUCUUUAUUUCACAGGUCUCCUUUCUAUAUGCCAGCUCUUACACUCUUUCUAGUCCCUCAGGUGUGAGCUUUCCUGAGCCCAGGAUAGUAGAUUUAUGUAGAUGGUUCAUGCAGAGCUAAGCUCUCUGAGUUAUAUAUGAUUGUCACUUUGAGCAGGAUGAGUUUCUUAAUUAACGAUUUACCCACUGCAAAACUAAAACAAAUAAAACUUAAUUUUAGACUAAAUCUACAAGCAACAAAAGUCUUCUUGAGGCCCCAGAUUCCAAUGCCUGGGUUUUAGAAUUUGUGUGCUGUGUGCCCUGCUAGACUCUGACUGUCUUCCUGGGUGGACAACUUUUACUUGGAUGAGUACAUUUUAAUAAAUGAUUGUAAAAAGAAACCCCCCUUUAAACCUAAAAUUAUAAAUUUUCAAGAAUC
rnacentral:lncRNA from 1 species